AAAAAUUAAGAUCUAAAAAGUGGGAGAAACCCAUCUUCUCUCCUCCUCCCGUAUCCUCUUUUGCGCUGCAACAGCUCUGUCGUCCACGGUUCACCAAAGGCUCUCAAACUACACAUCCAGAAUGCUCUUGCCGUCCUUUAUCCAAUCCCCAAGUUAGUUUCUAUAGAUUCGUAGGCGACUUUCCUCAACUUCAAAUUUAAGAAACGGUGACCCAGGGUUUUCCGGCCAACUUCCGGCCAAUAUCGCCGCAAUUGGAGCUCGACCAAGAGGUAGAAAUGAUCCUCUUCUCGUGGGCUGUUCGCCAAUGUGGACACAAAAGUGACUGUAAAUUAGAAACAUUAAUUUAAAGCAUACCUUGUGUCAUAAAUAUUCCUUAGAGUGGCAUUGAGGUCCCCGUCCAUUCCUGUCGAAAUGCGGUUUUUACUUGCAAUCGGGGAUUAUGCGUGUCAACAUGCUUAGGAUCAAAUGGCCUUAAGUCUUGCACACUAAUAACCUUCAAUAACUCCAAAGACGGCAAGUUCAAAGUAUAAGCUUCACCACAAAAAUACUUGAGUUUUGGCAGCCUUAUAAGCUUGAUGGACUUCACUUUAGGUAAUGUAAUUAUUUCAGCUGUUUCUUCUUCUGCGGCAACGAUUUCUUCCAUCUGCUCACAGUCAUAAACUCUUAUGUCCUCUACACUCACAAGAAGUUUGACAAUGGACGAAGAAAACAAGUAUUUCAACUGGUUGCAACGAUGGACCUCCAACGAUUUCAAGUUUCCGAAGCUGCUACCUGUGAACAUCUGUUGUGAACUACCCGUCUCCCAAAGACGCGUUAAACUUGGCAACUUAUAUAACCAUAAGGACCUCAAUUUAUUGAAUGCUUCAAAGGAGUGACUACUUUCUUCAUGCUUUGGUCCCUUGAGUUGGAAAAUCACUUCCAAUGAUGCACAGUCGUGGACAAGAAGAUUUUCGAGAUUAUCAUCAUCAUUUGAGUCCUCAAGAUUAGUUGGUGUAACCUAGAAAAUUAAACACGAUCAACAAGAUGAUACAAUACUAAUUAAAAGUUGUAAUUGUAGAGGUUAAUUGAACCUGAUUUAAAAGCUUACCUCCAAAUUAAAUGGACGUGGCAAUAUUUCAAUGGAGCGGUGUGCGUUUGCUCUUGAAUCCUUCUCAGACUUAUUCUCUAACUUCUUUCUUUGUGGAAUUACAGCACCCAAUGUCUUCAAAUUUUCACAUUCUUUCACGUGCAUAUUUUUUGCGGAUGACCAUAGAAAUGUAAAUCCCUCUGGACAAAGACUUGUGAGACGAGGCAGGUCUUCUAGUUCAAAUGUGUUCAGUUUCGGAAACAAAAUCAUGUAUUUUGUCGCC